AGGUUACUACGUCAAACCCUGUUCAUGUUGAUGAGGAAGGACUGGCCACAUGUCUGUAGGUUACUACGUCAAACCCAGUUCGUGUUGAUGAGGAAGGACUGGUCACAUGUCUGUAGGUUACUACGUCAAACCCUGUUCAUGUUGAUGAGGAAGGACUGGUCACAUGUCUGUAGGUUACUACGUCAAACCCUGUUCAUGUUGAUGAGGAAGGACUGGCCACAUGUCUGUAGGUUACUACGUCAAACCCAGUUCAUGUUGAUGAGGAAGGACUGGUCACAUGUGUGUAGGUCACAUGUGUGUAGGUCACAUGUCUGUAGACCACAUGUCUGUAGGUUACUACGUCAAACCCAGUUCAUGUUGAUGAGGAAGGACUGGUCACAUGUCUGUGGACCACAUGUCUGUAGGUCACAUGUGUGUAGGUCACAUGUCUGUAGGUUACUACGUCAAACCCAGUUCAUGUUGAUGAGGAAGGACUGGUCACAUGUGUGUAGGUCACAUGUCUGUAGGUCACAUGUGUGUAGGUCACAUGUGUGUAGGUUACUACGUCAAACCCAGUUCAUGUUGAUGAGGAAGGACUGGCCACAUGUCUGUAGGUUGCUACGUCAAACCCAGUUCAUGUUGAUGAGGAAGGACUGGUCACAUGUCUGUAGGUCACAUGUCUGUAGGUCACGUCUGUAGGUCACAUGUCUGUAGGCCACAUGUCUGUAGGUUGCUACGUCAAACCCAGUUCAUGUUGAUGAGGAAGGACUGGUCACAUGUCUGUAGGUCACAUGUCUGUAGGCCACAUGUCUGUAGGUUACUACGUCAAUCCCAGUUCAUGUUGAUGAGGAAGGACUGGUCACAUGGUCACUUGUAGAGCUCACGUCUGUAGUGGUCACGUUCUUCUUGUCUUCUCAGGUAUUCUUCUACUGUCAUUUCAGGUGCAUGCUCUCCGCUCAUAUUCACGUCAUAAAAAUUUUUUAACUUCUGUAAAUAAAUUAGCCAUCUUUCUGCCAGA